rnacentral:rRNA from 2 species
UUGACCUCGGAUCAGGUAGGGAUACCCGCUGAACUUAAGCAUAUCAAUAAGCGGAGGAAAAGAAACCAACCGGGAUUGCCUCAGUAACGGCGAGUGAAGCGGCAAGAGCUCAAAUUUGAAAGCUGGCUCCUUCGGAGUCCGCAUUGUAAUUUGCAGAGGAUGCUUUGGGUGCGGCCCCCGUCUAAGUGCCCUGGAACGGGCCGUCAGAGAGGGUGAGAAUCCCGUCUUGGGCGGGGUGUCCGUGCCCGUGUAAAGCUCCUUCGACGAGUCGAGUUGUUUGGGAAUGCAGCUCUAAAUGGGUGGUAAAUUUCAUCUAAAGCUAAAUACUGGCCGGAGACCGAUAGCGCACAAGUAGAGUGAUCGAAAGAUGAAAAGCACUUUGAAAAGAGAGUUAAACAGCACGUGAAAUUGUUGAAAGGGAAGCGCUUGCGACCAGACUCGCCCGCGGGGUUCAGCCGGCAUUCGUGCCGGUGUACUUCCCCGUGGGCGGGCCAGCGUCGGUUUGGGCGGCCGGUCAAAGGCCCCUGGAAUGUAGUGCCCUCCGGGGCACCUUAUAGCCAGGGGUGCAAUGCGGCCAGCCUGGACCGAGGAACGCGCUUCGGCACGGACGCUGGCAUAAUGGUCGUAAACGAC